UGGUGAAGAUUUUGAGUCGCUACGCCAAAAUGGGUGAUGGUUGCGUAAUGGUUGCGAAAGGUACCACGAACACGACCGGUAACAGAAAUACAUCAUCUGUGAAAAUUUUAACUGUCUAACUUUUACGGUUCAUGAGAUACAGCCUGGUGACAGACGGACAGCGGAGUAAUAGGGUCCCGUUUUACCGUACGGAACCCUAAAAAAUGAUUAACCAUUUAAAUCAAUUCAAACCGUCUCAUAUUAAAACAAUGAAUAUAGUGUUCGAUUAAUAAUCCUAUUUUAAUGAAUUGUAUAGGUUGAUAUUUUUGUCAAACUUCUAUUUCCAACAUUUUAAUCAAUUUUAACGAAGUUAUCAACACAACAUGUUAUAAUAUAAUAAACAGAUUACAAAGGUUUAA